CUUGGCUAAGGAGGGGUUUAAAGAUGGGAGUGAAACUAGUCUGGGAGGGGAUUCCAUAAAAAUAGCGGUUCUGGUCAUUGUGGAGGAAUGGACUAUGGAGACAGGGGAAAGCACGGGGGUUCAGUCUUCUAUCCAUGAAACCUGACGAAAGAUUGGAAAAUGUGGCGAACGCUGAUCUGAAAAUAAAGAAAAUGAGAUUGUAAAAGACCAGGAAAUGAAUCCAAUAAAGAGGAUGGAUACCUCAGAUUCACUGGAUACUGUUUCUAGGAUCUGAAAUUAUAAGUUCAAAUACUUAUCUGAAGGGGUAUUCUCAGUUGAUAUCAUACAGAAGAUUUGGGCAUCCUCCGGAGCACUGAAAUGACGAUCUAUUUGCAGAGAAGACAUGGAGGUACCAAAACGAAGUUUCUAGUUGUAGGUGCUUUAGGAUUAGGUUUCUUUUGGUUUUUGCCAUGUUUCUUUGGAAGUUGGGCUUAGGGUUUCUGUGCUUUUGUUUGUUUUUUCCUUUGGACUUGGGGUUGGGCCUUGUUUUGGUGGUCUUUUCUUUUCUUCUGUGUUUUUUCAUUUUUUUUAAUAAAAGCUGCAGGCCAGGUUAAUUAAAAAAAGAAGUGAUAAGAAAAAAAUUUAUCUAACAACUUUCAUUGUGGGUUAUCAAAUCUGUUUAAAAAAUUAAGUGGCUCAAAAUCUUUUCAAUUGAUUGAAUUUUUUCAACAUUCUAUCAAACAGAGCGUAAAUUAAAUCCUAAAAUUUUAAAACUAAACAUUAUUAUUAUUUUUAACAAUUCAACGCUCAUCAACGAAUUUCCUUCUUUGUUAUCUGGUUUAAUAUAUUGUUUGGUACUCAAGUUUGAUUUUUUUUCUAAUGUAGUAUAUGUGUUAUUUUUUGAUCUAAUCUAUUACUUAUAUUUGACAAAAAAAAUAUUUUUGUACCCAAAUGUAACAAUGUUAACUUUUUACUGUUCAAUUCAAAUUUUAGAAUUGAUUUAAUGAAAGUUAACUGCUAAUAUUAUUAUAUUUGAUUUUUUCAUUACUUUGUUAAUAGAAUAAAUUUAAUGUUAAUUUUAAUUUUUUUUUAAUUUUGCGUUUAAUUUAUCAAAUAUAGUCUGAUAGAUGUGAUUUAAUCUGAGUUUUAAUGUUGAUUUUGUUGAGGCAAAUUUUUAGUGAUGCCAAGGAGCAAGGGCCCACUGGUUCCUAGCACGACUUAGCUCAAAAACUUGCCAUGUUUAGUGUAGGCAAAUUUAUUGUUAAUUAUGAAUUUGGAUGACUGCAAGCUCAUGUAUGAUAUCCAAACUGUUUAUAGCAACAUAUACAACGAAGCUUGUGAAAGCUUAGUAAGUAUAAUGAGAAUUAAACUUACGUUUUAUUAAUUAAAUGAAAACAUAGUACAAUAGAAUUGUAAUAAAUAAGUAUUGAACAUAUUAGUAUUAGUAACUCCAUAUUUUGACUAAUAGUAUAAUUCCUUUCAUUAUCAUUCAAUCACUAGCACAUAAUCUUGUCAUAUUAUAGCUUUAUUUUUUGUCUUUUAUUAUUCAAUGGAGGCCUAAUGUAGGCUUAAUAAAACACAGGAUAUACAAAAAUAGUACAGGGAUGCACCGAAGUGCAAAGUAGAACUAGAGUGCCAGGUCAGAACAAAAUAGUAGCGAAGUGCGAUGUCAAAAUAGAGAACGCACUAAAUGCUUCCUAAUAACAUGUCAUCUAUAUCCUACUAGUUCAUAUCUUGUCUACAUGAGCAAAUAUAAUAGAACCAAUUUCUCAUUUACAUCUCAGAACAGGAUUUAUAUACUUUUGAAUUUAGCCCCAGUCAAUUCAAAACUCAAUAAUCAUUCUCACAACAAUUCAAAAUCAUUAUACAAGUCACUCACUAACAUACAUUACUUCCUAUAUAUAUUAAAAUAUAAUUUUUAGGGUUAAAUAUAAAAUUAUUACUCGAACUUGUCAACUUCUCCCAGUUGGUACUUAUAAUUUUUUUGUCUCAAAUUGGUACCUAAACUUUUUUCGGUCAACUAAAUCUAUACCCGAACCUAGUAUCAUUAAGUUCAGGACAAAUAGCGGAAUAAGACUAUGACACGUGGCAUAAAUGACAUCAUAUGAUAUCAUAAUCUAAAAAAAUUUAAAAAAAAAAAUUCUUUUGGACUUUUCUCCCCCAAUUUUUUUAUUUGUGCAAUUAAUUUCAUUUUCUUCUUUUUCUUUUUCCUACCUUGGUCGCAUUGCUUCUAGACCGUUGGUAGGCCACUGCCCGACCUCCUCCAAUGAGCUCUUCAACCAACGAAUACACCAAAGGACUUAGUUAACGAUGACACCAAAGCUAUCUGGUGAGCUCUCUCAAGUCUAACUCUUGCUUUCACAUUUUGGUUAAUGGGUUAGUAGCUUUAACCAAUUUUAGUGGUAGGGAUUUAGUAAAUCCCAAAAUUAUAGAAUAUUUUCUUUGGAGAUUUAGUUGGAAAUUUGUUUUGUUCUAAUCGUUGGUCUUGUUGGUUUUAAAGGUCGUCUCUUUCACCUUUUUUCUUCUUCCUUGCUUCUUUAUUCUCUCUUUUCCUUUUCUUUUUUUACUUCUUUGCGUGGUAGGUCCUUGUUAUUUUGGAUGAUGGAAUAGAUUCUCUUUUCUUUUUAGUUUGCUAAUAUUGGUUGUUGUUUGAUACUUAUUGGGUUUGAUGGAUUGGGUAUUUGGAUUUGAUUUCUGGUAAUGGGGGCAUUUACAUCAUUGGGCUGAUGUGGUGAGAAUGAUGAAACAUGUCGAUGGUGGUGGUGGUGGUUUUAGGGUGAUGGUUGAAUAAUAAUGGUGAGGUGAAGAUCAGGGGGAGUGGUAGAGCUUGGGAGCAGGCUAUGGCAAUUUUGAAGGUUUCACUUUCACUCUUGGACUUCCUUCAAGCUUCAGCCGGAAUCAUUGAUGAAGCUGCUUUAGGCAAAAACUUCAACAUCUUGUUUUCAGAUUUCGUUUGUUUCUCCAUUAUUGUAUGUAAUAAAUUAUCACUUUUUUUUCCAACUUCUUUCUAAUCUUUUGUUUCCUCAUCCCGGUUAUAGGUUCCUUUCCAUUGUUUUUCCAAAAAAUGUUACUUUUUUAUUGGCAAUUAAUUUUCCAGUAAACAAAUAGAAGUUAGAAAGUUUAUAGCUUUUUUUCGAGGCACAGUUUCUUUACUUAGUUGUAUGUAUUAUUUUAAAUAAUCAUCUAAAUUUCAAUUUCACUUGGGUUUUUGUUUUCCAUGGUAUACGUGCUUAAAUAAAAAUGAUUGAUUCCUUUAACAAUAAUGGAAUCGAAAACUUCAAAACAAAAAUUAUGGUUCAUCAUCAUCUCUUAAAUUCAAUUACAAAUUCAAAAUUAUUUCAUAUAUAAACUAAAAUAGAUAAAUUAAUAUCCACAAUAGUCUAUUAAAACACAACCAAGCAAAAAAGUAAAAGAAACCCAUAAAAACUGGGAAAGCAAAAAUUAUAGAUUUUACCCAAUUUGCCUUUGAUUUUUUCUUCUUGUUUAAAAAAAACACCAAACAUUGAAGAAAGAAGAUAAUAUCUUGAUUUCUAGAGAGAGUACCAAAAGGAUCCAUAGAGGGGAGAUAUAAAAAAUAAGAGGAGAGAAGAAGAGAGAAAAGUGAAAUUAGGAAGAAGAAAAGAAAAACUGGGAAAAAGAAGGAAAAAAGGACAAAAAAUGGAAAUAAUUUUUAAAAAUAUUUUUAUUAAUUUUUAAUAUUUUUAGAUUAUGACAUUGUUAUGAGAUCAUUUAUGCUACAUGUCACAAUCUUAUUUCGUCACUUAUCUUAAACUUAACGACGUUAGACUCGGGUUCUGAUUUAGUUACAGAAAAAAAGUUCGAGUACUAAUGUAGGACAAAAAAACCAUAAGUACUAAUUUGGGAGAAAUGGACAAAUUCGGGUACCAAUUUUAUAUUUAACCCUAAUUUUUACCUUUUAUGUCCAUUUUCCUCAUUUUCAAAAUUUGUCCAUUUUUCAUACUUUUAAUACAAAACAAUAAUAUUACCUUGUAAUUAAUAUCCAAUAAAUUUCAACAAUUCACAAACUAAUCUCAUAUUAAAUGUUAACAUAAUCAUGUAUAAAAUUAGUCACAUAAAUAUUAAUAUAAUUAAACUAACAAAAUUCAAUACUUAGAUAUUAUUUAAAUAAGUAAAUUAUUGUUGUACUUACAACCAAAGGCUUGGAAUCAAGCUUUCUUCUUCUACUCUUUAACUGGCUUGGAAUCAAGCUUUCUUCUUCUACUCUUUAACUAUUUCUUUGCCUUUGUCCCCAACUUGUUAAUUGAUUUUCUUCUCUUUUUCUUAAUUUUUUACAUUCAAACCCAAAUUUUUAUUUUCUCUCUCCUUUAAGAUAACUAUGGAUACACUUCUCAUGAAACUAAGAUAGCUAUUAGACUUCUUUAUUGAUUUCACUAAAUAUUCAUGAAAUAAAUUGUAGGAAUUAAGCUUAAAGACUUGGAAAUGGUGAAAAAAGACCUAUUUGUAAUAAAAAAAAGUUGUAAAGAUGGAGAAAAGAGAAUGAAAUGAGAAUGGGGAAAAGAUGAAUGAAAUGAGAAUGGGGAAAAGAUGAAUGAAUUUCAUCAUCUUUCUAAACUAUUCUAAAGUUUCCACCCCGAAUUUCUCUAAACUCAAAACUUUGGAACAAAUUUGGGGUUAAAUCAAAAGAGAUCGUAAAUUGGCGGUCUUUGCUAAAAAGUCAAGAAAAGUUGGGAUCGAAAUUAGACAAGGUUGAAAUCCAAUUUCGGUUCUGUUGGAUUAGAACCAGCUGAUUCCUUAGUGGGGGACAAAAUGAUUGUCAAUGGAUGGUUUCUAAACGGUUUAAGACCAUGCGGGAAGGGUUGUAUAUAGCGGGGAAAUGACUUCCCGGAAGACUUCUUCUCUAAUUUGUUUCAUUUUCUUCAUUUCUUCAUCUUCUUUCUUAGUUACUUCGUGAAAGCAAUGAUUAAAGAAAGCUCUGCAUUGAGAGAUGAUCGUAAGGUUUAAGUCGAAAAAGUGGAAAAUUCAGUAAGUUGGUAAGGUUCUUAGUCCUUCUGUAAACGUAGGGAGUAAGAGAAUGAAGAUAAAGGUUUCAAGAACCAUUUUAAGGGUUCUGUAUUUUUUUUAAAAAAUUGAGGUUUAAAGUAAAAACACCAAGUCUAACCCAUGAUUUGGUUGUCAUGUUUAACUGCCAGGAGAAUGGAAGCUCUGGCGUUUGGAAAAGCUAAGUUGAUGAGAGAAAUGAGUAUUAGGUGAGUUUCUGCACUUAACUCCUAAAAAGCUAAGUAUGUUGCAAGUUUACAUGGGUUUAUGAGUAUCUGUCAUCCUAGUUCAGUAUGCAUGAUUCCAUAUUGUUUAUUCAUAGAUACAUAUAUUGCAUAUGAAAUACGAAAAUAGGUUUUCGUCGGGAUUAGAUGAAGUUAGGAUAGGAAAAAUGAGUGAUUUUGUUAGAUAUCGCCAUACGGUGUUGCUGUAUGCACCGGUGAUGAGCAAAGCUUUGGGCCUUGAAAAGGGGACACUGUAGUGUUUUAGCAUCAAGGUUAGGAAUGGUGAAAUGGAGGAAUGGAAGGAAUGUAUUGGGAAGAGUAAACAAAAAAGAUCAUGGCUAUGUUAUAGGACCAAUCAGAUGUUAUAUAUCUAAAAUGAUUAAGACCAUAGCUGAAAGAUGCUAUGGCAUCAUGAUAAAAAUGAGUAAGAACAUAACUAAAAGACGCUAUGGCAUCAUGAUAGAAACAAGACUAAGACCAUAGCUGAAAGACACUAUGACAUCAUUUGAUAGUUUACUGGGACAAUAAACACAGGGUUAUAUCGUAUAAAACCAUAGCUGAAAGACGUUAUGACAUCGUAAAUAGUCUGAUGGGACAUUAAACACGGGAUAGUCCGAUAGGACAUCAAACAUGAGAUAGUAUGAUGGGACAGUAAAUACAGGAUAGUCUACUGGGAUAGUAAAUACAGGAUAGUUCACUAGGACAUUCAACAUGGAGUACACUUGGUAAGACCACAGUUUAACUAUGGCAACAUAGAGAGUCCCCUGAGACAAUAAAUAGGUGGAAAAAUAAUGUUACAUUGUCUUACCAAAACCCAGCCAUACUUACCCAUUGUUAAAUUAUAAAAUAACCAAUAUCCAAAACAUAGUCAUGUCAUACAGGUUUAAACAAUACGAACUAAACAUAGGUUCAACACUAAAUGUAACAACCUAAACCCAGCCUAGACAGAAAACUAAGUUUAGAAUGUUACAUUGUCUUACUAGAAUCCAGUCAUAUUUAACCAUUGUUAAAUUAUAAAACAACCAAUAUCCAAAACAUAGUCAUGUUAUACAAGUUUAAACAAUAUGAAGUAAACAUAGGUUCACACACAUUUAUAUACAUGUAAAUUCGAUAGAUGACCGAGCCCCACGUCUUCCAACCGCUUAUUCCUAAGGAUUCCUUGAAAUUCAUUCAAGCAGUUAGUGCGUUGUAUUGAAAAACUUCAACUAAACAGACAACAUAUAUACAAGUAUUUAGAUAUUAUUGAUCAUUUGGAUAAUAAUUCAUUUUUCUCAAACAGAUCAAUAUCCUAGUCGAAUCCAAACACAACAAUCUUGAAAUGUAAUCAGUUGAUACAAAUACAUGUAUAACACUAAUACAAUUAGGUGCACAUAUCAUGUAAUACAAAUAUAGGAGCAAUUUCCUAUUCCAUUCACUACACACCAUCUCCAUCCCCCCUACACAUCAAUAGGUAUAUAAUACCUAUCUAUCUACACACCUCAUAGUGUCGAUAUGACACAUUGUAGUGUUUAUAGUGUCACUGGCAGAUCAGAUAAUAUCAUGAGUGGUUGACCACCAAUUCAUUACAAAAUACUUCAUUCACACUAUACUCCCACCCUAUGUAAAUACAAAACAGAUAACAAAUAUGAACACGUAUUAUAGAUGUAAUUACAAUCACACAUACUGUUAUGACAGAAUAUAAAUAGAACCAGUUUAUAUUCACAAUAAAGUAGAUCAUAAAGCUCAACACAGUGAUACCUAUCUUAUAGCUAUUAUAUACUUGCUCCAUACUAUAAUUACAACAUUUCCAAAGUUGGCGUUUCAGUUCCACACACCCAAAUAGUGAUUCGUAUCACUCCAAAAGGCCUGGCACACGGCUGUGUGGUUGCCCAUGUGCCUAAUUUAUUAAAUCAGUGUGUCAUAUGGCCUGGGCACACGCAUGUGUACUAGCCCGUGUACCUCACACGGCUUGGCACACACUCAUGUGUCUUGCCCAUGUGACCCUUGCACAUCACUUCUCAUCCACGACCUAACAUAUGCUCGUGUGACUCACUCGUGUGGCCCUAAAUUCAAACUCAAUGAGUUACACGACCUACCUCACGGGUUCUCGCAAGACCGUGUGACCCACACGGCCUACAUACAUGCCCGUGUGGUAACCCGUGUGUCAUUGAUAGCCUCGUUUUUGAUAAAAAAAUACAGGAAAACACAAAAUUUUCGAUACCCACCUGUUACCUGACGCUGUAGAAGCACUACAAUGCAAUUUUCAAGCCUAAAACAUGUUUCGACAACCAAUUCACAACACAUUUGUAAUUAGUUAACAACAACCAAUUUUGUCUAAACCUUCAACUCACUUCGCAAAACGUAAGAAACUAACUUACCGUGAAUUCUCGGUACACACUUGAUUUCUAGGCAAAACGAGAUACGUUAGGCGUCUCCUGAGUUCCCCCUAAAGUAUCAAUACACAACAAAAACCAAAUUAACCAAAACUCAAAAAUUUAGUAGUUUUUCCCAAUCCGCACAAUGACAAAAUAACGACAGUGAACCGAUUUACCUUAAGACACAUUGGAGCAAACAAUAUCGUGACUCAAUGAAGCAUUUACAUAGGAUAUACGAAACCAAGCAAUGAUUUUGGAGACGAACACAAGCAAAUAAAAAAAAUGAGGAAUGAAAAAGAAAAACAGUGAAAGAACUUAAUGUCUAAAGCAUUUAAAAGAAAAGAAAAUUUAAAGUUCAGAACAGUUUCGUGAAUGAAUGCAAAAACAUAAAUUCUUGAUGUAUUUGUAGAGACUCAAACACGGGACCAGAGAAUAGAUAGAUGCUUAACAAGUGAACUAGCAGGCUCAUUCUUAACAUAAAAGGAACAAAAUUAAACUUAAACAAGGAACCUAAGCUAAAGGUUCAACUAAGGAAUUUAACAAAUUCCAAAAUCCAUGUGACUCAAACAUCAUAUCUCAAGUAAGCAAAUAGAAUACACAACCACAGAAGCAAGCACAUAUUCACUGACACAGCUUAGUAAUUAAAACCCAAAUUUUAGGGUGUUACAGACUGAGCCAGACCAUGAUAAGUCUAGGGCAUUGACGGUAAGUGUCAUGCACAUAGAAAGAGGGUGCCUUUAGAGAUUUCGCCAAUAGGGUGAAUGUGUUGUAACCAAAUAAUUCCUUUAUAAUCUAGAAUUAAAAUUGUGAACCUUAUUUUAAUUUUUUGUUUCGGUUGUAAAAGUUUUAAAUAGGUAAUGCUGUCUGAUUUUAAAAUAGUGAUAUUUAGAAGUAUACAUCCACCCGGUUUGACUGUGACACUCCGUACCUAGAUUUAGUGAACGAGUAGGGUAGGAAUGUUACAAAAGUAAUAUAUAUUAAUUUAAUAAUUAAAAAUAAUAAAUAUUAAAAUAUUUCCACCAAUCAUACUUUUACACCAAGUUAGUCAUUAAUCCUUCAAUUUUCUCUACAAUACCAUUCACGAGCCAUAUUUUCUUUAGGUAAAAUUUCAUCUCUAAUCCUUCCUCCUUUUUUCUCCAAUUCAAUCUAACCAUUCCAACUCAUAAUUUUCUUACUUUUGCCCCAAGACUUUUCACUCUUUUACAAUUAAGUCGAUGCCUCACAAUAUAAAAUCCUUUUCAAUUACCUCCAGUAUUUAUCUUCUCCCUCUACUAAAACUGAUAAUUUGUAUUUUAUAACCUUAUCAAAUUCUGACAUAUUUACUCUCGAUUUAACACAGUUCUCGACUCAAGGGUAUUAGGGAUUCAAUGUGCCAUACCACUGCACCCAUCACUUAUUAGUAGGCCCCAUCCCUAGUUGAUACCAUAAUAAUAAGGGUAAACUACACCAUUAGUCACUAAACAAUGGGCAAUUAUUUUUUGAUCACUAGACUAUUUGAAAGUCUUCAUUUAAGUCACUGAACUAUUCAAAAGCUUUUAUUUAAGUCACUGGGUUGUUAAGGUUUCUUUUUAAAAAAAAAGUUUCGCCAACGAGCUCCAAGCGACAAUUUGAUGAUCAGUACGUUAGAUUAUUACCCAUCGACUAGUAGAAAAACAUACCUUAGAUCCAAGUCAAUCUAACAAUCAAUGUCAAAGAUCAGAGGAAAAAGUUGUUUGAAUUUUGGUUCAUAGAUUCAUGAUGUCCAAAACUAUUUAAUGAAAAAAAAAUUGAACUAUAGAAGAGAAGAUGAAAGAGAGCUUUUGAUUGAUGGAGAUAGUGCGAAUAGAGAAAGUCAUAUGGCACCGAUUUUAACAAUCCAAUGACUUAAAUGAAAACUUUUGAAUAAUUCAAUGACCAAAUUGUGAUUUUUUUUUGGUGAAUGGCAUGAGGAGGGCAAAGCUCUAACAGUAACGUGAUUAGUGAGAUCCGAACCUAAGCUAUACCUAAGGCGAUAAACACCCUAACUAUUAGGCUAAUACACGGGAACAUGUGUCUCUUCUUUAAAAAAGAGUGUAACUUGUAUUGAUAUUUUUAUUAUUGUUUUAUAUCAUAAUUUACUUAAACUAUUAUAUAUUUAUAUAAAAUUUAAUGUAUUAUUAAUUUAUUCUAUAAAAAAAUAUUUAUUCAUCUACUUAUAAAAUAUUCUAAAUGAUAGUUAAAUUCAUAUUUUAUGACUGGUAGUAGCUUUAUCUAGUUACAACUCAACCAACAUUUGACAUAAAAAAUCAACAAAACUAAACUUUGAUGGUAAAGACUCACGCUUUUCUUUUUUUUAGAUUAUACCAAAGUGGUGAGUGCUGAACAUUGUUUUAAAAAUUCUAGAAUAUUCAUGAAAGUCUAAAGGCAUAAAGACUUUCGAGCUUAGUAAUUUUUAACUUGGGCUUUGGGUUUUUUAUUUGUAAAAUAAGUGGCUUUUAUACUUACAUAUUGAAAAAGGAGUAGCUAAGUUUGCUGGAUGUUUCAAUCAAGUCUAAUUAAUAAAUUUGAAAGGAAAGUAACAUAAAGAGAUAGAUCAACACACAAUAUUUGUUAAGAUAAUUCGAAUAAUAAUAUUACUUUGUAUAGUUUUACUCAACGAAUAAUUUUAUUCAACAAUUUAUUCAGAUACCUAUUGAUUAAAUCCUAAUUUAUCUUUAUACAAUGAAUAAUUAUAGCCAUAAUAAUGAGCCCUGAUUGUUACAAUCAUUUACUCAAAAUCCCCACUUACAAAUGACAAUAAUUCUCUAAUAAAUGUCUAACACACAAGAGUAUAAAAAUAUAAAGAAAAGAUAAGCAAAUACUCAAGAUGCACAUCAGUCAUGUGAAACAAAGCAACCUAUUUAUAGGCAUAAAUCAAUCAGCUUCAGAGCAAAAUCACAAAUUAAAAAAAAAAACUUUAGCCCUAAGAAAUUUAAAAUAGACUUUUGCUACAAGUAAAAAUAAAUUAAAGGCUUUAAAGGAUAAGUAUAAAGUUUGUUGACCAUCAAAACACUCCUCUUACUUCACAAAUUCGACAAAGGGAAAAAAAUAAAUAUUCCAGCAUAAAUAAAAUCAUAUUAAACACGAAACAGUGAUCAUUUAUUGAUAAGUAAUCAACUAAAAUUAAAUAAGUCACAAUCCCAAGAAAACUUAAAGGUCUCCAUCUUGUUGUCACAAGUGAUUCGUACAUGACAUGUAACUACUAAAACAUACACAAUUAAAGUCUCAACAUAUAUUUUAAAUAUUUUUAUUUAAUUUAAUUGAAUAGGAAAUUAAAGUCCAAUCAAUUUGAUCUUCAAUUUAAUUUUUAAAACAUUAAUAAAUUUAAGUUUAUUGAUAUAUCAUCUUUAAUAUUAAAUAUUAUUUUUAAAUUUUUUCUUGAUUAAAAAUAAUACGGGAUCAGAUAAGGAUUAGUUUAAAUAAACACAAAGACUAUUGAUAUCUUACUUGACUCAAACUUAACCGAAUUUGAUUCAUGAUACAUAAAUUGUCAUGUCUCUUAUUUAUAGAUACCUAAUAUCAUGAUUGUAAAGAGAAGUCAUGAAACCCUGCAUAGCAGUAAAGUAUAAUUUGAUUAAAAUAUACUAUACCUUACAAGUUAAUCUUGGUUUUUGUUAUUUACAAAUACAUACAAAUAUGUAUAUAUAUAUAUAUAUGUGUGUGGUUGUGUCAUUUACAAACACGUACAAAUAUGUACAUGUGUGUAUUUUAAGGUUUUUCUCCUUUUACAAAUUUUAAAAUGAGCUGCAAAUCAAGAGGAUGGGAAAAGAGGGCCAGUGGCAGUCCUGAAAAGCCUCCCUCUUUUAAAUUGAAUGUUGUUUAGCUUUUGUUGGCACCAAUUGAGUUGAGAAGUGGAUACAAUUGACAUCUGCAAUACUCUCGAUAUCAACUGCAUCUCUAUCAUUGCAAACACCAUUGUCUCUUUCUGGGACUCUUCCAUAGGUUUCACAACUUUGUUAAACCAGCACUUUCGUUUCCCUUGUAAAUCUUUCAACCAUAGUUCCUUCUGCUUCAAACAAGAAAAUAUAAUCAUUAUUUCAUAUCAUCAUUCCACUUUUUGAACUCUUCUAAAAAUGCAGUCCUUAGUUUUCCUCCUAACCAACAUGUCACUAUACCUAUCUAUGGAUUGGGUUAUCAACCUAAGUGUGAAGGUCCAUACAGUAUUUGUCCACUUAUGAACAGUUCUAACCGCAAAGAAUUCCGUCCCUGAAUACUUCUUUACCUUUGCAAGUGUAGUGGUUAGGUCAGCCAGCAGAUGUAAAUCUCUUGGAUCCUCCAUUGGAGGAUAAGUCCAUAAUGAAGUCUUGAAUUUCCACCAACUCUUAGUCCUGUCAGUGGUUAUAAAUUUUCCAAAAGCAUUUAUACAUUUCUCUAUUGCCUUCAACACCGCUUUUGCAUCCACUGUUUCCCCUUUAUUCCCAUCUUUUUCUUCCUCCAAAUACCCUGUAAGAAUGAUCAGAUUGAGGCUAAAUUUCUUAAUUAUAUAGAAGAGACAUAAUCUUUCCAAUGAAGCUGUUAAACUUUGCAUCUCAAUCUUGUUAAAAAUAAAUAAUAAGAUCCAUAUCUCAGAUCAUGUCGUACUAAACUUAUGCAAAUAUAAAUGAUCUUAAUAUUAUAUUUAAACUGCAUUUUUCUAUGGCUGAUAAGUACCUUCGUGGACUUUCAUUUUAAUACAUUUCUCUAAGGCCAUAUCAGUAAGCACAGUCUUUCUCUUUCCAAGUUGAAAAGUCAAGUUAGAAUUUAAUACUAAUAUGUUUAAACAUCCUUAUAUAUUAAUGCAUAUUUGUGUUAUUUUUUUGUGUAAUAUUUUAGUUAUAUAUAUUUUUUGUGUUGUGUUUAUAAUCUGUUAGCUAGUAUUGUUAAUCCCAUACUGUAUAAUAAUAGAAAUGAAGAUUAACUAUUAAAAGAAAUACCUGUGAGUUUAGGAACUUGAAGAAGGGUCUUGGAAGCUAAUCUUGCUUGAACAUAAUUCCAAGCUCUCUUUCCCUUAUAAACAUACCUUUCUUCUUCCAAAAAUCUUUCUAGCAAUACUUGGAAGUUUUGGAAAUCCUUUGCCCAAUUAUCAGCAAACAAGCAGUUGGUCAAGCUCAGGAACUUGACCUUUCUGUAUUGAUGGUGCAGGGCCUCCCAUGUCAAGCAUGAUUGACCCACAUAAACCAACUCAAAAUCACUUUGUAAACUUCUCAAAAGCUUCUUUUUAUCCUGCUUGCUCCAUGAUAUGUAGGGGAUUGUCAAAUCCUUCACCUUGAUGUUCUCCAAUGAACUUGGGAUCCCCACUUCCACGUUCAAGAUUGCACCUAAAAGUAACCAAUCAAUGAGUACAAUAAGAUUGCACAUAAAAGUAACCAAUCAAAGAAAAAUACUCACUUAUUCCCUGAGUCCUGUCAUGGUUUAAAAUAUCAAACCAUCUCAUUCUUUCAUAAUAUUUCUUGUAAAAACCUUCUGAUUCAUCCUCAUCUCUUGCUGUGGUUAUUACCUCCCUCUCCAGAACUUGAGAACUAGAGCUGCAAGCUGGUAAUGAACAUUCUUGCAUCAAUGGUGUGCUCAAGGAACUAAACAACGGUGAAUAUUCAUUCAAAUAUGAUUCAUCCAUGGAUGGAGAAAUGCAGAAGGAAGAUGAACAUUCAUAUGCGCUCAAGUCCUUUUGAAGAUAAUAAAAGCUCCAGUCUUCCAUAUUCGAAGACUCUCUUCUAGGAAGAAUUUCAUGGUUAUCUUCACAGCCAUUAGCCUCUACAAAUUCAGUCUUCCAUGCAUCGGAUGGCAUGCUUGAACAAAUGCAUAAGCUGAUGAGCUGAUUUUGACUAAUAUUAUCAGCAGCUUCCAAGAUCAACACUUGUUUUGAAUCAACCUCUUUAGCUCUAAUAAAAGAGAAGAUAUAGACGACACAAUAUCUACAAAAUUUAUAAACAUAAAAAACCAAAAAGUAGAUGACUCUAAAAGGAUAACUCAACAAAGCUAAAAUGCAUCUUUUCAGCCAUUUGAGACACAGAAAAACUUGGCAAGCACAAAGAAAAAAAGGGUGGAUAUAGAAGCUCAAAUAAAACCAUUUGAGAAAAUAUCCAGGAGGGAUGACUAUAGAUUCAAUAAUAAGCCAACAAGAAGUAAGGAAAGCCAUGCUCAAGUCAGGUUUCAAGAUUCAUCACUUGAUUUGGGGUGGGGGGGAUUUUGGCAGUUAAUUUAACUUGGUGGGGGGCCAAGAUAGAUGUCCUUGACCACAUAGCAUAACUUGGUUGGCAAGCUGCUUGAGUUUAGUUUAGUUUAGUUUAGUUUUUUUUUUUAAUUUGAGUAAGUUAUUAUAGAAUCAAACUCGUCCUUAAACAACUCAAAUUAUGUAAUAAUCCGAAUUUAAUUAUCUUAAUACCAUACUUGAAAAAACGAAAAAAUCUUAAUCUCAAACGUAAACAAUUAGAAUUUACAUAUUUUUUUAAUAAAUAAAGGAAUUCAACUGAUAUUAAUUAUAUUUUAAAUUAAAUUCAAUUGAAGGCUGCAAAUCCCCCAAACAUGAAUUGGAAUCCUUUUUACUCUUUAAACUGAGUUGACAAAUAAGGAAAUAACAUGGAAAGAGCCAUAUAGGAAUUUUUUGUUCCAGAUAUUUAAAAAAUAAGAGAGUAGUUUCAUGGGUCAGCAAUUCUCACUUUCUUUGUCAUUUCAAGAGAGAGAAGCUUGGAUUAUAAUAUACUUUUUCUAUAUCUUGACUAACUUUUUAGUUAAUUGCAUGAAAAUAUGCCUUAUUCCUACAUGAACCCCAUCAAUUUUUUCCUUCAAAAUUUCACAAAAGAUUUCAGACUUUAAUCCAUUGAAUAUAAAUAUUGAUAAAAAAUUUUAAUCUUAUAAACGAGAUUGAAAUUUUAUUAUGUAUCUUUCAAUUUUAUUUAAAACUUUAAAAUUAAUAAAUAAAACAUAUAGUAAACUCUUCUUUACCAAAUAAUUACUUUAUUUUUACUUUCUUAAGAUCACUUGCUUUUCCACAAAGAUGAAAAGGACGUGUGGAACUUAAAUGAAAAUGGGCCCCAAGACCAAGAGUAUUGGAAAUUUAAUACAAGUGAAGCAUCUUGACUUUUUCAAUCAUCAUCUCUAACCUCACCCAUUACCCAUUGGAUAACCGUUAACAUGUCAAUGGGGUUUCCACCAAAUCUAGUUAACUACUAGUUUUUUUUUCAAAAUUUAUGUUUAUUUUAGAUUAUAUUUUAAUUACUUAUAUUUUAAAUGUUAUAUUUUACUCAUUUUCAUUAACAUGUUGUAACAUUUGUCAUUAUGCCGUUAAUUGUCAUUAACAAUGUAAUUAUAAGUUGACGUGACACGUUAAAUCAUCAUUUAAGCAAAAAUUUUAGAUUGAAUUAUACAAUUGUUUCCCAUAAUUUUUUUCGUUUUGAGCAAUUUAAAUUUUUUUUUCUUUUAUGUUAUUUUAACUUUUUUUCUUCAUUUUUCAUUUUUUUUACUUCUCCCUCUAUUUUCCUCCCUUCCCCAUCUCUUUUAAUGUAGUUUUUCUAUAUUUUACAUUUGUUAAAACUUUAUUAUGUUUAUGAAAAAAGAAAAAGUGAAAACUAAAACCAAAAUAAAACUUGUUUCACAUAUUCUCACCCUAUAAUUACAAAACCUCAUCAUUUAUUAUCACUUUAACGAACCACUUCUAAUCUUUCAAUGACCUAGUCCACAAGCUCGCCUCACUCGAAGAACUUGCUAGUCGUGGCUGAUGGCAGUCCACCAUCAACAAAGUUUCCUGAACCCAUUCCCUUAACCUCUUAACCAACCCCCACUACCACCUUAUUUUCUAACCUACAACAUUCUCACCUUCUCGAAGCUACGUUGUUUCAUGGACUUUUCAAACAAACUCUACACUUUUAAUGACUAAAAUGACCACCAUACAAAACUUACCCUUUAACCAAACUAGUUUGGUUCCAUGCUCCCUUUCUCUCUUCGGCUCAUCCAUGCUCGACUUUCAAUCAAGCUUGCUUGGGAAUAUCCAAGAAGAUUUAGAUCAAUUUUAUCGUUUGCUUAAUUUUAUUCGACAGAAAAUAAAAGAAAAGAAAAGGAAUAAUCUACAUGAUUUUAUAAAAGUUUGGAAACGGAAAAACUUUGUUUUGAAUAUAAAGAAUUCAAUUUAUGUUUAGAUUUGAAUAAGGAUAUGAAUUUUUUAUAUUAAUUAGUUAGAUCCAAUUUUAGUUUCAAAAUUAGGUUAUAUUCAAAUCGAGAUUUGAUUAAAAACUAUUGAUAUUUGAUUUUGAGUGAAAAUUUAAUUUAGGAAUCAUGUGAAAAAAAUAAGGACUUGGUUUAUUUGAUAAGCAAAGAUUAUGUUUUUGUAGUGAAAACUAUGAGAAAGGGAAAAAUAAAAAGAAAUAAAGAGAUAAAAAGAAAAUAAAUUGUUUAAAAAAAUAAAAGUAUAGGGACUAGUUUUAACAAAUAGAAAACAUAGAAAAACUACGUUAAAAUAAAUGGAGAAGGGAGGAAAAUAGAAGGAGAAAGAGAAGAGAUGGAAAAUAAAGAAAAAAAAAGGGAAAGUUUAAAGAAUAUAAAAAAAAAAUUAAAUUGCUCAAAAUGAAAAAAAAAGGAUCAAUUGUAUAAUUAACCGAAAAUUUUUAUUUGAAAUAACCUUACCGUUAAUGACGAUUAACGCUCAGUAAAUAAAAUGUUACAACACGAUAACGCAAGUGGCUAAAACGUAACAUUUCAAACAUAAGUGACUAAAAUGUAACCUGAAACAAACAAAAGUGAUUAUUUUGAUAAUUUAUCCCAAAUUUAAUUUUUUUUUUGAGAAAAGUCUGGUAUGCUUUCAUUAAGUAAAUAGAAAUCCACAUACAAUGAAAAACAAAUCAAAUAAAAGAGAAAAAGGCCGAGGCCAAAAAGCAUAAAACAAAACUCCUAAACAAUAAUCAAAAUACCUAACAAACCCUAAAAAUCAACAGCCAGUCUUCAUUCAUUUGACGAAUCCAUUUCUUUUUUCACAUUUUCUGCAUUUCAUUUCUAGAGAGAUUCGUUUAACAAACCAAGAAAACAAUGACUCAGAUAUCCCUUCAGAGAGAGAAUUUAUUCCCAAAAUAGUUACUCUGGUGUGUGAGCAAAUUAAGUCAGAUACCGUUAUUGUCAAAACAUUUCUUUUCCCCAAUCUUCAAAUGACUCAAUAUAGGCAUUCCCAUUUUACCAUUUUCUUGUCAUAUCAUCGAUGGUUCCUUAUCCCCAACUGGAACUCGUCGAUUAUGUUUUCCUUCCAUGGCUUUAUAUUCCUCGACAGCCUGGGUAACAGAUCUAGGGAGGCCAUUUCUCAGAUAAGUAUCUUCUUUCAUAUUGAUUCCUUCCUCUGCUAAUAGAUGUGCCACUUUGUUCAUUUGUCUCAUUGCAUGUCUAAAUCUACAUGAGAUAAAGUAAUUUUUUAAUCAUUUAGCAUCAAUAAUGUAAGCCCUAAUUUCUAAUCUAUCUUCUUCUUCGCUUUUAAUCUUCUUAAUGACGGACAUAACAUUGCCUUUAAUGUCACUUCUUAAGAAGCCUAAUUCAGCCCAGAACUGGAUCGCUUGGACACAACCGAGAACCUCUACCGCAAACUUUGAAGGAAUGUGUCUGUUAAAAUGGACUUUUAUUUUUAAGACUUGCCCACUUAAGUUUCUAAUCACAAUUCCAGUGCAUGAUUUCUUUUGUUGUUUCUCAUAUGCAGCGUCAAAGUUGAUUUUAACAUAAUUCUCCUCAAGAGGUCUCCAGUUUUCCGUCAUCAGUUUGUUAACAGGUAACUGCUUACAUAUUCCAUCCAACUCUCACAAGUAGAUAAGAAUGAAUUGAGUCAAUUUAUCACUUUUUUGCAUCUGUUUUUUAUGAACCCAUUUAUUUCUGGCUGUCCACACAGCCCAUAUAGCACACAUAAUAGUUCUAAUUUUAUGGGCUCACUCAUUUUCGAGAAGAACCUGGAUCCAAUCCUUAAACUGGAAUUGAUCUUGCUCCAGGGUCCACCCAAUCCCUAAUUUGGCCCAAAUAUCGUGUACCAGAGGGCAGUCUCUAAACACAUGUUCUACCGUUUCUUCACUUUACGAGUAUCUUGGACAGAUUACGAAGCUUACCAGCUUUCGUCGAAAAAGAUUAGUUUGAGUAGGAAGGAAAUUAUUUAGAGUUUUUCAUACUAAUAUUUUAAUCUUCAAUGGCAUAUCCACAAGCCAAAAUUUCUUGUACAUAGAUUUGUAUUGGCUUUGCAAGGUCUGUAAAUUAAUGUCCCAAUCAUUUUGUAACUGCUGCGUACUAUGUAAGUCCCCGAAGCUUUUGCUCUCCACACCAUGCUAUUUGUUUCUUUUUCAAUUGAGAGAGGAACACACAAAAUCUUCUCAGCCUCAUCAUGGUGAAAGGUAUUUCUAAUUAACUCCUCUUUUCAUUUAUUUUCAUAUUGUUCAAUUAACUCAGAAAGGUAUACUAAAUUUGGGUUAAUGAUAGUUGGAUCUUGUAAUUUGUGGCACCUGGGACCCACGCUCCAUUCCAAAUUGAAAUUUCCUCUCUAAACCCAACUCUUUAACACAUCCCUUUCUCAAUAAGGUCUUUUACUGCCCAUAGACUUCUCCAGGUAAAAAAAGGUAAAUUCCCCAAUCUUGCUUGCAAAAAAAUCGUGUGGAUAGUAUUUUGCUUUUAACAAUCUUGUUAAUAACGAAUCAGGAUAACAAAUUAAUUGCCAGCCCUGUAAGCGCCAUAUUAAAUUUAGACAUAACUCGAAAGCCCAUUCCCCCGUCUUCUUUUAAAUCCCCAAGUUUCCUCUAAUCGCACCAAUGGAUUCCUCGUUUAUUAUGCUAUUUUUGCCACCAAAAUUGACCCAUAAGAUUUUCUAUUCCGAACAAGAAGGUUUUGGUAGUAAAAAGCAUGCCAUAGCAUAGGUAAGGAUUGUCAGUAGCACUGCUUUAAUAAAAACUUCCUUCUCUCCUAUAGAUAAGAAACAAGCACUCCACCCUCUAAUCUUACUAAUCAUUCUAUCUUUCAAGAUUUGGAACAUCGUUUUUUUUAUUUCUUCCCACAAUAUUUGGCAGACCCAAAUAUUUUUCUAGAUCUCUUGAUGUUCGCACACCCAAUAAAGUCGCUAUUUGUUCCAUUCAUUGUUCAAAUACAUUUGAGCUAAAAUAGGCUAAUUAUUUUUCAAAAUUAAUACAUUAACCUAAACAUAUUUCGUAUUCUCUUAAUAUGGUUUUGAGAUUUUGUGCUUCUCUUUCCGUAGCAUCUCCAAAUAAGAUGCAGUCAUCUGCAAAUAAUAAGUUUGUAAUACUUGGCCCCCUUUAGCAAACUUUUACUCCUUUUAUGGUUCCUUCACAAUAUGCUAAUCGCAUUAAAGUUGAAAAUCCUUCACCGCAUAUUAAAAAUAUAUAUGGGCUUAAAGGGUCUUUUUGUCACAAUCCUCGCAUUGGUUUGAAAGAUUCCCCUAUCUCAUUAUUCAUGCACACUGCAUAAGUAACUGUCUUAACACAUUUCAUGAUUAAAGACACCCAUGCAUCAGCAAAACCCAUUUUCUGCAUGACUCUCUCAAUGAACUCACAUUCCACUCUAUCAUAUGCUUUGCUCAUGUUAAAUUUUAGAGCAAGAUUUCCAUUCUGGCCCGAUCUUCUUUGUUUAAGAGAGUGCAUUAAUUCAUAUGUGAAUAGAAUAUUGUCUGUGAUAAGUCUCCCUAGCACGAAUGCACUUUGGGUUUUAUCAAUACAUUAAACUUUUUUGGAAUCAAUUUGCCAUUGUCUUAGAAAUAAUCUUGUAAAUUACUGUGCAAAGACUGAUAGGUCGAAAACUCUUUAGGUUGACAGGAUUUACCACUUUAGGGAUGGGUACAAUAGAUGUCAUAUUAAUCUCCACAACCGAACCGUCCCUGUUCAGAAUAUUUAGGAAAAAAUUGUUGACCUUCUUUCCCACAAUAUGCCAAAACUUCUAAAAGAAACCAUCUCUCCCAGAAGCUUUGGUCGGUCUUAUGUUUUUAAGAGCAUAAACAAUUUCUUCCAAAGUAAAGUUUUUCGUUAACAAGUGGUUCAUAGUUUCUGAGAUGCAACUUUCAAUCCCAGAUAGAAUAUAUUCGGGAUUUCUUAUUCCUCUAGAUGAAAAUAACUCUUGAAAAUAUUCCCUCGCCACGUCGGCCAUCUCCUUUUUGUCCAUAACAAGUUGCCCUCGUGCAUUUUUCAACUCCUCAAUUCUAUUAGCUCUUCUUCUUUGGGAGGCAAAGGUAUGAAAAAAUUUUGUAUCCUUGUUACCUUUUUUUAGCCAAUUCAUUCUUGCUCACAAUUCCUAAUACCUUUCAUCUUUAUCAAUUUCAAGAUUUAGAUGAAUUUUUACAUCAAUAAGCUCCUCUAAAUUUUCUUUCAUUCUUUCCAAUUCAUCCAAUUUUGCAAUAUGAGUAAGUAGCUUCGUUGAUAGCCCUUUAUAUGAUUUCUUUAUUACCAUGCCCAUCUUUGUAAACCUUUCUCAACAUACUCUAAUUUUUCCAUCACUCCUCCUCUGCUUAUUUCCCAUAAUUGCUUCACUUCCUCUUCACAUGAUUAUUCCAUGACCUACCAAACUUCAAAUCUGUUGGAGCAUUUUCAAAAGUUAUAUUAUUUAAUUUUUUGAAAUUUUUUUUAACUAUUUAAAUAAUAUUAUUUGAAUAGUUAUAAUAUUAAAUGAAUAAUUAUGUGUUUAUUUUAAAAAUAUUAUUAUUCAAAAAGACACAUAUGGAAAGAUGUCUCUAUGAAGAAACAUGAAAAGUUCCUAUAAAUAGGAAUGAGAUUUCAUUAGGAAAUCACACCAACAAAUUAUAAUAUUCUUUCUUUCAUUCCUUCAUUUUCUAAUAUUAUUAGAUUAUUCUAUAAAGUAUUACUGCAGAAAUCCUUUGUAGAAAUUGAGUUUCUUGUUAUACAUUGCUCAGUGCAUAGUGGACUAUUCUCGUUAGUGCAAAACACAAAUAGUCAUUGGUUUCAUUGUACCCUCGAGGUUAAUUUGCUUGGAACUCAUUUGUACACCGAAGAUAGGUGGGGGCGAAUAUAACCUAAAAGAUAGUGGCUUGAUACACGCCUUGGAGCCUUGUCCUAUUUCUUCUUUUUUCUGUUCGAGUUAUGUUCGUGUGUUCGAGAUUUUCCUUAUCGGAAAUUUGUACUAAAAGUUUUAAGGUUAUAUUUCAUGAUGACUAUCACAACAAAUGAAAGUGGAACACUAAAGGAGUUGGCUUCCAACUUUGUCAAACUUGAUCGGUUUGGUGGUGACAAUUUUCGACGAUGGCAGAAAAAGAUGCACUUCUUAUUAUCAAAUUUAAAGAUUGCUUAUGUUUUGGAUACUCCAAGACUUGAAGAAAAUGAAAAUGAAUCUGUUGUUGCAACCCAAGAAAGGCAAAAUGGGACUAUAAUAAUUACAUAUGCAAGGGCCACAUAUUUAAUGGUUUAUCUGAUAAAUUGUUUGACACUACCAAAACGAAGUCACCGUUAAAGAAUUAUGGGACAAAUUGGAGAUAAGAUACAUGAUCGAAGAUGUUACAAGUAAAAAAUUUCUUGUCAGUCAUUUCAAUAAUUAUCAAAUGGUUGAUGAUCGUUCUGUUAUGGAACAAUUUCGUGAUAUUGAAAAGAUGCUGAGUCAAUUCAAGCAAUAUGAUAUGAAAAUAGAUGAAAUGAUUGUUGUAUCCUCCAUAAUAGACAAACUUCCUCUAUCUUGGAAAGACUUUAAAAGAAGUCUAAAACAUAAGAAAGAAGAAAUAUCUCUUUAGGCUUUGGCAAAUCAUCUUCGUAUUGUAGAAGAAUAUCAAAAGCAAGGUCGGAUCCUAAAUUCUGAAAAUGCUGAAGUGCAUUUUACGAAGGAAGUACAGACUACUAAACCAUUCAAGAGAAAGUUCAAACAAACUAAUAGAGCACCUAAGUUCAAAAAGAAACAAAAGGGCUCAUGUUAUCAUUGUGGUAAACCCGGAUAUUUCAAGAAUGAAUGUUUAUUUUUAAAGAAGAAAUCAUCUUCUAAGAUUGACAAUAAUGAAAAGUUUGUUGCAAUAAUAUCUAAAAUUAAUAUGGCACAAGAUGAUAAUACAUGGUGUAUUGAUACCAGAGCAACCAAACAUGUGUGCAAAGACAAAAGCAUGUUCAAAAAUUGCACACAAUGUGAAAAUAACAAUGUCUUGUACAUGAGAAAUUCUUCCACCACAGCAAUUAAAGGCAAAGGGUCUGUUGAACUACAAUUCACUUCUGGAAAGUUUUUAACCUUAAAUGAUGUAUAUUAUGUACCAGAAGUUAGGAAGAAUUUAGUGUCUGGAAAUCUAUUGAAUAAGUUUGGUUUCAAACUUGUUUUUGAGGCAGAUAAGUUUAUUUUGUCGAAGGGAGGAAUUUUUGUAGGGAAAAGGUAUAUGUAUGAGAGUAUUUUCAAACUCAAUAUUUUUAAUAAGAAUAAAAAUACUAUUUUUUUUACUUAUAUGGUUGAAUAUUUUUGUUUAUGGUAUUAUAGAUUAGGUCAUUUGAAUUAUGGAAAAUUGAAUGACAUGUAAUGACCUGAAAUUUACGGGUAUCGAAAAUCGUAUUUUUGGCUUACUAUUUUAGAAAAUCAGGUUUGUAAAUAUUUAUUAGAAAAAUUUACGAAGCUAUUUGACUGAUUAAUUAGAUUUUAGUUAAGUGAAUUAGCUUGAAUUAAGGUUAAUUUAGUAUAAGGACUAGAUUGAAUAUAAUAUAAAAGUUUAAUUAUAGACUAAAGAAAAUUGAAGGGACUAAAUUAGCAAAUAGCCCAUAAAAGGGAAUAGUGCCAAAUGUAAGGAAAAUAUUAUUCCAUGUGUAUGUAUAAUAUACAUAUAUUUAUACUUAAUACUUAAGUAUAUAAUAUAAUAAUAUAAUAAUAUAAUAAUAUAAUAUAAUAAAACAUAAAAGAAAUAAAGAAACAAAAGAAAGAGAACAGAGAAGGUGGAAGGAAAUAGGAAAGAAAAAAAAAGGAGAAAAGAAAAAGGGAAAAUUAGGGUUUUAAAGCUUGAAGCUUAAUUUGGUGAGUCAAUUUAGUCCCUUUUCUUGCAAUUUUGAUGUUUUUGGAGUCCUAGAGACAAAUAUUACUUGAUGUAAGUGGAAAAUUUGAAAGUUAGAUGACUUUUAGACAUGGGUUAUGUUGAACAAAUUGUUGAAUUAGGGAUUUAAUUGAAUAAAUUUCAAGUUAAUGUUAAUGUGAAUGUGAAUGUGAAUGUGAAUGUAAAAUUUUUGGAGUCCUAGGUUAUCUUUUGGAAAUCAUUUUGAAUAUGAAUGUUAAUAGUGUAAGAAUGAUAAUGGUUAACCCAUGAAUGCAAAGUUUAUGUUUACAAUAUGGCCAUUUAUAUAGUCUAAUUGAAGUGAUUUAAUCAGUACCAAAGUACACUGUCUGGAAGUUUUAGGUUAAAUACUUACUAAUACACUCAAGUUGGAUCAUAACAUUUUGAUGAUUAUAAUGUGAAAGGGAUGUAUUAAAUCAUGUUUUGGAUUGGUUGAAAGCUUGGUUUUAAAUUUUGCUUGUUACUGAAGUUUGCAGGGUUGGUAAACUUAGACUAUAAGGUUCAUUUUUGAGUUCACACGGCCAGGCACACUGGCGUGUGAUCAGACCGUGUGAGACACACGGCUUGCACACGGGCAUGUUGUUAGGUUGUGUGUCCCCUACACCUAAAUUUUGUAAAACAGAAUGCUCAGGUUUUACCACACGGGCAGAGACACGGGCGUGUGUCUCAGCCAUGUAGGGUAUACGGCCAUAGUACAUGGGCAUGUGCCUGGCCGUGUGAAAACUGUACUAGAUUCAAAUUGAAAAUAAUUUUACACGGGCUAAGCACACGAGCGUAUGUCUUGGCCGUGUGAAACUAGUUUGUUCAUGAGCAACAAACAGAGAAGUACACAGGUAAAGGACACAGGCAUGUCCUAGCCGUGUGAGUUACACGUGGUGGCAACACAGGUGUGUCAUAGAGACACACGGGCGUGUCUCUAAACCACACAAGCGUGUGCUACUGUUCAUUAAAAGAAAUCUAGGAAAAUCUUACGAAAAAGUUUAUAAGCUUCUGAUUGGGUUCUGGUUUGUUCUUAACAUAUUCCAUGAGCCUAGAAUGUAUCAAAAAGGGGUUAAUAAGAUAUAUUACUAAAUUAUACAAUGUUUAAUUUUAUUUGAUUCGUGUUAUAAAUUGUAGUGACCGGUAGUAUUCCGUAAUCUCAUUCUGAUGUCGGUAAAGGGUUAGGGGGUGUUUCAUUUAGUGGUAUCAGAGCUAUUCAAGUUUAGUCGAUUCUAGGACUAAAACGAGUAUAGAAAUGAGUCUAGAGGUACAUGCCAUUAUUGAAUUAAAUUUGAGUCGGGAAUUGGAUGCUGAAUUAUUUAUUGAUUAAUUGUUUCUGUUUUAUAGUGUUAAAGAUGUCUGAUGAAAGAAUUGAAGAAACUGAUCAAGAAAUGUAUAGUGAAGAUGAUGAACCGUAUGAUAUGAAUGAUUCAGAGUCUGCAACACCUAGUGUAAAUCCGAUAGGUAAUCAACCGCCAAAUGUCGAAAUGAGUGAUACUAGAGAAAGAGAUAAUACAAAAAUACUCAGAGUGAUAGUUGAUACUCUUCAAAGAGCAGUGGGAACCAUACCUGCAAUGACUACUACUCUUACUACUCGACGAGCCCCGAUUAAAGAAUUGCGUAAAUAUAAGCUACUGAAUUUUUAGGUUCGAAAGGAGAUGAUCCGUCAAAAGCAGAAAACUGGUUGGAAACUACAAAAAGAAUAUUGAAGCAACUUGAAUAUACCCCACAGGAAAGCCUAACAUGUGUCGUUUCUUUACUGCAAGAAGAAGCGUAUGUAUGGUGGGAGGCGAUAAUUCAAAGUGUAUCAGAAGAACAAAUAAGUUGGGAGUUCUUUCAAAGAGACUUUCAGAAAAAGUAUUUGGGAGAAAUGUACAUGAAAGAUAGAAAACAAGAUUUUUUAACACUAAAACAAGGCGAAAUGUCUGUAGUGGAUUAUAAACAGGAAUUUUUGAGAUUAAGCCUAUAUGCAACUGAAUUCGUACCUACUAAAGUUGAUAGAUGCAAACGAUUUUUGAGAGGGUUGCGUGAUGAAUAUCGAUUGCAGUUAAUGCCUUUACGAAUUACUGAAUUUGCAAAUUUAAUAGAAAGAGCUAAGAUGAUUGAACAGGUAUUGGGGAAAAAUAAGAAGUUUGAAGUUGCUCGUUUGGCUAAAAAACGUCCUAGAACUGCUAGUUCAAGUCCACAAACAAAACGGUCAAAGGAAUCUCGAGGUAAUUGGAGAUUCAGCUCUAGAUCGGAAAGAGGUGAUAGAAGUCUAAGUAAACAAACAACUAUAUCCACUGGUAGUAUUAAAAGUCCAAAUCAGAAUACGAAAAUUCUAAAGUGUGAACACUGCGGGAACAGGCGUAAAGAUGAGUGUAGAAAGUUAACUGGAGGUUGUUUUUGAUGUGGAUCCAUUGAUCAUUUUGUAAAAGAUUUUCCGAAGAUUAGUAAAGCAGCACCAAUGGUAUCAUAAAGAUCUGAAUCUGUUUCAAGAGGCCGAAGGUUAGGCCGAAGUGGUUCAAUUGCUAGAAGAGGUACUAGAAAAGCUAGUGAAAGUACUACAUAGCAAUUAGAAGUAAGAGUACCGGCCCGAGUGUAACACCCCUAACCCGUAUCCGUCGCCGAACUAGGGUUAAAGGCAUUACAGGACAAAUUGAAACAUUUAACAUUCAUUUCGCAAUCAUCAAAGCAUCAAACAUUAAACAUCAAUAUAGAGUCCCUUAUAGAGGUCAUCGAGACCUUAAACAUACAUCAGAAAAGGGCCGGGACUAAACCGAGCUCAUACAAAAAUUUUCCAAAACUUAAACAUUUUUUCAAACAAGUACAUGUCACACGCCCGUGUGAACAGGCCGUGUACCUUACACGGAAUUAGACACGCCCGUGUGUCUAGGCAUUGCCAAAAUAGGGCAGAAAUACUGACUUACUCACACGGCCACAAUACACACCCGUGUGCCUUGGCCGUGGUCGAAACUGACUUGGGCCACACGACUAGCCACAUGCCCAUAUGCCUUGGCCGUGCCCGAGCUUGACUUACAAUUGUAGGGUACCCUAGGGGACACAUGACCGUGUCACAUAGCCGUGUGUCGUAUACGGCUGAGACACACGCCCGUGUCUCUACCCGUGUGGACAAAAAUAGGCUAUUUGAAUAACCAAUUUGCCACCCCAAUUUGGGUCAACCUACAAACACCUAACCAAGCAUAUUUAUAUAAUAAUUUCAACCAAUUUCUAAACCAAACCAUACCAUAUUCAUGCCAUAACAUUAUCAACCAUUUUCAAAUCUCAAGUCAUCAAUCAAUUCAUAACAAAACUUAAACUAAAAUCAUACCUAAACAUAUGAUCAAUACAUCAUUCAAUCAAAUGCUCAAAACUUACCAAAACUUCUCAACAUUGACCAUUUCUUUAGGCCAAUCAAAACAUACCACAAUUUCACAUUAGCAACACAUAUCAUAUACCAUUAUAAAACUAUAAGUUCUAACACAAACUAGGCAUAUCACAUGGCUAAAUAUGUACAAUACAAAACAUAAUUCCACAACUUCUAUCCUAUAUAUGCCAUACUUUAAUAUAUACACUUUCAAAGUACCAAAAUAAGGUUUGAUAGUGUGGCGACGAUCAUCGACGAUCCCCAAGCUCACAGUAGCUUCGAUAUCUAUAAAACAAUGAAAACACACACAAAGUAAGAUUUUAAAAGCUUAGUAAGCCAUAUACAAAUAAACAUAUCAUUCAAAGCAAAUAAAUAUCAUCAAAUCAUUUAUACCUUGUAUACCAAUGUUUACACAAAUCUCAUAUUCAAAUACUUACCUUUCAUUCUCAAAUAAGCUAUACAAAGUAAACAUACCUGAAUCUGAUAUGAUUUAACAAAGUUAUUCAUUCUCUCAGAAUGCCCAUUUGAACCAUUCGGAACUAUAAGGGUACGCGGAUAGCUCAAAGAAAUAUACAAUGCGAAUGUCCCAAACGUGGUCUUACAUGUAAUCAAACAUUGAUACCACUGUCCCAGACAAGGUCUUACACAAAAUCAAAUAAGAUGCUGAUGUCCCAGACAUGGUCUUACACGUAAAACAGAAGUCGAUGCCAAUGUCCCAGACGUGGUUUUACAGGAAAUCAGAUAACAGAAUCCUAUGUUAUGACAUAUGUAUCCUAACUAUUCCUAAGGUUCGUACGGGGCUUUUCAGAUGUCGAAACUUUGUCGAUACUUUCUCGAAUAGCAUAUAUUUAGCUCAGACAUUCAUUCAUCACAAUUCAAUAUCAAUUAAAUAAUAACUCAAUUUAAACAAGCUUAUUUGUAUACUGACUUACCUCGUAAAGAUUCAGAUGAAUGAAAUCGGUUACUCAACAACUUUCAACUUUCCCCAAUCUAACUCCAUUUUCUUUAAUUCUUGAUCUAUAUAAAUUCAAAUUUAGCUUAUUCAAUCACAAAUUCAUUCAAAAUAAUUCAUAGAUACAUAUUUAGGGCAAUUUGCAAACUAGCCCUCACAUACUUUAGUCCCUAAUUCACAAAAUCACAAAAUAUACAUAAUUUACAUAUACUCAUGCUUGGUCGAAUAUUCAUAGUAUUCAUAUAAGCCCAUAUGCUUCAUUUAUUUCACAUUUUAGUCCCUCAAAAUCUCAUUUCUACAAUUUAGUCCAAAUUACACAAAUUUAUCAAAAAUUCAAAGACAAAACUUAGUAAUCUAACACAUAUCUUCCAUUUACUAUCAUUAAAAUUCAUAAAACUCAUAGUUUCAACAAUAGUAUAACUCAAAAUCAUCCAUAAAAUCAGAAAUUAGGACAUGGACUUAGUAAAACACAAAGCAACGAUCACAAAAACGUAGAAAUUAUCAAAAACCGAACAAAAUCCAUACCUUAAUCACCAAAUCAAUGUGUUGAACCCUAAAACUCUUUUUUCUUUCUCUUUUCUUUAGUAUUUUUCGGCCAAGAUGAGUAAAAUGAAGCAAAAUUCAUAUUUUGUUUUAUUUAAUUCUUAUUAAUACAUCAUUUACCAUAUUAACCUUUAUAAAUAAACAUAUAAUUCAUAUUUACUAAGGCCAUUAAUGUCCACUGAUAUGUUCAAUGGUCUUAUUUCAUCAUAAGGACAUUUCCUUUAAUAAGAAAAAUUAAAUAGGGACUUGAAUAAUUAGCUGGAAACUUUUACAUUUUACGCAAUUAGGUCCUUUUUGAAAAUGAAGCACACAAACAUUCAAAUUUUCAUACGAAACUUCUACACAUGCUCAUUCACAUACCAUAAACAAGGAAAAUAAUAUUUAAAUAUUUUUUAACUCAGAUAUGUAGUCCUAAAACUACUAUUCUAACUAGGGUAAAAACUGGAUUGUUACAAUUCUUUCCCUUAGGGAUUUUCGUCCCCAAAAAUCUUACCGUUAAACAGAUUCAGAUAAUGCCGUCUCAUAAUAUCUUCAGGAUCCCACGUGGCAUCUUCAAUACCGUGUCGAUGCCACAUCACUUAUACUAAUGAAAUUUUCUUAUUUCGCAGCUCUUUAACUUCGCGAGCUAAGAUACGGAUCAACUUUUCUUCGUAAGUCAUAUCAUACUGAAUUUCAAUCUUAGACAGAGGAAUCAUAUGCGAAGGAUCGGAUCUGUAAUGUCGAAGUAUCAAUACAUGAAACACAUCAUGAAUCUUUUCUAAAUCUAGUGGCAACAACAAUCUAUAUGCUACUAGCCCAAUACGUUCGGUAAUCUCAUACGGCCUAAUGAACCUCGGACUCAAUUUGCCUUUUCUACUGAAAUGAAGUAAUUUCUUCCACAGAGACACAUUCAAAAACACUCUGUCACCAAUCUCAAACUCAAUAUCUUUUCUUUUCAGAUCUGCAUAAGAGUUCUGAUGAUCGGAAGCUGCUUUCAAACUAUCUCGGAUCACUUUUACUUUCUGUUCGGUUUCUUUUAUCCAAUGAAUUCCGUGAAUCUUAUUUUCACUGAGCUUAGUCCAAUACAAAGGUGUAUGGCAUAUGUGACCAUAUAAAGCUUCAUAUGGUGCGAUUUUAAUGCUCAACUAAAAAAUAUUAUGAUAAGCAAAUUCAAUUAAAGGCAAAUAUUGUUCCCACGUACCUUCAAACUCGAGAAUGUAACAUCUCAACAUAUCCUCAAGUAUCUGAAUGAUUCGCUCAGACUGACCAUUUGUUUACGGAUGAAAAGCAGUGUUAAAAUGUAAUUUAGUAUCUAGCGCAUCUUGCAGUUUCUUCCAAAAUCUCGAUGUAAACCUCGGAUCUCUAUCCAAAACAAUAGAAAUAAGCAUACCGUACAAUCUCACAAUUUGAGAAACAUAUAGCUCAGCAAGCUUGUCAACCGAAUAAUUUGUACUAACUGGAACUAUAUGAGCCGAUUUAGUCAAUCUAUCCAUAAUAAACCAGAUUGUAUUUUUCUUACUCGGUGUAACGGUAUACCAGAUACAGAAUCCAUUGUGACUCUGUCCCACUUCCACUCAGGUAUCAUAAUCGGUUGAAGCAACCUAAAAGGUACCUGAUGUUUGGCUUUUAUUUGCUAACAGACUAAACAUUUCGAAACAAAGUCAGAAAUGUCUCGUUUCAUACCUUGCCACCAAAAAAGUUGUUUCAAAUCAUUAUACAUUUUCGUACUACCCGGAUGAACAGAUAACUGACUGCUGUGAGCUUCAUUCAAAAUCAUUUGAAUUAACUCUGGAUUUCUCGAAACACAAAUUCUAUCUCGGAAUCUCAGAUAGUCAUCUUUAUCAACUCUGAAUUCUGAAUCAGACUUUACAUUACACUGAGCUCCUUUAGCUAAAACCUCAUUAUCACUCUUUUGAGCUUCGAUAAUCUGCUGUAAAAACAAAGGUCUUGCUUUCAAUUCAACUAAAACUGAAACAUCAUCGGACAAAACCAAAUGAGCAUUCAUCGCACGCAAAGCAAACAACAACUUUCGACUCAAGGAAUCAGCAACAACAUUUGCUUUUCCCGGAUGAUAAUCUAUCACAAGUUCAUAGUCUUUAAGCAAUUUAAGCCACCUUCUCUGUCGUAGAUUCAAAUCUUUCUAAGUCAUCAGAUACUUCAAACUCUUAUGAUCAAAGUAUAUGUGACAUCUCUCACCGAACAGAUAAUGACACCAAAUCUUUAGAGUAAACACAAUCACAGCUACCUAGAGAUCGUGUGUCGGAUAGUUUUUUUCAUGCGGCUUUAACUGUCUUGAAGCAUAAGCAAUGACUUUGUCUUCUUGCAUCAAAACACAUCCUAGUCUUAUCAACGAAGCAUCACUGUAGAUAACAAAUUUUUACCCGAUUCGGGUUGUACCAAUACUAGAGCUUCAGUUAACAAAUUUUCAACUGAUCAAAACUGUUUUGACACUUUUCAGACCAUUCAAACUUCAUAUUUUUCUGAAGUAGCUUCGUUAAUGGAGUUGCAAUCAUAGAAAAGCCUUUUACGAACCUUCUGUAAUAACUAGGAAGUCUCAAAAAACUACAAACUUCAGAGACAUUCCUCGGAGGUCUGCAAUCCAAAAUAGCCAAAAUCUUGCUCGGAUCAACUCGAAUUCCAGAUGCUGAUACAACAUGACCCAGAAAACCAACUUCUCGCAACCAGAAUUCACAUUUAUUAAACUUUUCAUAUAAUUGUUUAUAUCGUAGAAUCUGUAGCACUAAUCUCAGAUGCUCGGCAUGUUCGAAUUCAUCACGUGAAUAAAUCAAUAUGUCAUCAAUGAAUACAACAACAAAUUGAUCUAAAUACGGUCUAAAAAUUCUAUUCAUCAAAUCCAUAAAGAUAGCAUGUGCGUUAGUUAAUUUGAAGCGUAUAACUAAGAAUUCAUAGUGGUUAUACUUCGUUCUAAAAGUAGUUUUCUGAAUGUCUGAAUCUUUCACUCGCAAAUGAUAAUAGUAUGAUCUCAAAUCUAUUUUCGAAAACACAGCAGCUCCUUUUAACUGAUCAAACAAAUCAUCAAUUCGGGCCAAGGGAUACUUAUUUUUGAUAGUCACUUUGUUCAACUGACGAUAAUCGAUGCACAUUCUCAUCGUACCAUCUUUCUUUUUCACGAACAGAACCAGAACACCCAAAGUGAGAAACUCGAUCUAGCAACCCUGUAUCGGUUAAUUCUUGCAACUGAGACUUUAAUUUUUUUAGUUCGGUUGGAGCCAUUCUAUACGGAGCUAUUGAAAUCAGAGUAGGACCAGGUACCAAUUCAAUGCCAAUUUCAACUUCUCUAACCGGAGGUAAGCCUGGAAGUUCUUCAGGAAACACAUCAGGGAACUCACAGACAACAGACACAAAUUCAAAUUUCUUUUCUGACAUUCUCGAAUGAAUUACAUAAGCAAAAUAUGCUUCACAAUCACAGACAACAGGUACAAAUUCAAAUUUUUUUUCUGACAUUCUCGAAUCAAUUACAGAAGCAAAAUAGGCUUCACAAUCUUUUCUCACAAUAUUCAAAGAUUUCAUCGAAGAUAUUACAGCAGGUAAUCCAUUCAAAUCACUAGAUUCAAUUCUGACUAUUUCAUCACUCUUGCAUAUCAAAUAAAUAGUUUUCUAUUUGUAGUUCACAACAGCAUCAUGGGAAGUUAACCAAUCCAUACCCAGAAUUAUAUCAAAUUCAUCGAAAGGUAACAACAUCAGAUUAGCCGAAAAAUAAAUGUCUCGAAACAUUAACGGAAAAUUCUUGCAGACUUUAUUAACCAAAACACAUUUGCCUAUGAGGUUCGAAACUCUAAUUACAAAUUUAGUAGACUUUACAGGCAAAGUCUUACUAUUCAUUAAGUUCAAGCAUAUAUAUGAAUGUGUUGAUCCAGGAUCUAUCAAAGCAAUCACAGAAGUAUCAUAAAGAGUAAAUGUACCCGUAAUCACAUUUGGCGACGAAGCUUCCUCACAAGCUCGAAUAGCAUAGGCUCAGGCAGGUGCACGAGCCUCAGAUCUAACAGUUGUAUCUUUUGUCCCUCUCUGACUGCCACUUGUAUUUCCCGUAUUUCUGGGAGGUUUACCACGAUAAGCAUUGCCACUCAAUCUCGAAUUUUAUACACUUUCUUGCUCAACAGAUUCAGGGCAAUCAUGGAUAAAAUGGUCUAAUGAUCCACAUCUGAAACAAGCCCGAUCAUACAGUAUACAAUUAUCGAUAUGUCUUUUACCAUAAUGCUUGCAUUCAAGGCGAUCAGACUUAGCAUUUCCAACACUAGCAAAAGAUGUAACUGGAGCUUUGAAGCUCGAAUGUGAUCUUAUACGAUCUCUAUUCGAAUGUCCCACAUUAGCCUUUGAAUGGCUACUAUCAUCUCGAAAUUUCUUUGAUUCAGAUUGAAAUGACUCUCAUGAUGAUCUCUUUCGCACUUCUCUAACUUCAUAAUCAGCUUUUCUUUUCUCUUUCCCCAGAUCUUCAGCUUUACAUGCUCCUUCAACAAGCACAAAAAAUUCUUUAAUUUCAAGAAUCCCAACUAGCAAACGGAUAUCCUCGUUCAAACCAUUUUCAAAUCUUUUAUACAUUAUUGCUUCCGUAGAUACACAUUCACGAGCAUACUGACUCAGUCUUACAAAUUUUCGCUCGUAUUCUGUAACAGACAUAUAGUCUUGUUUAAGCUUGGGAAACUCAUUACGUUUUUGGUCGAUAAAUCUCUGACUGAUGUACUUCUUUCAAAAUUCAGCUUAGAAGAAAUCCCAGGUAACUCGCUCACCCGAAACCACGGAUAUUAAAGUUUUCUACCAAUGGUACUCCGUAUCUCUCAAAAGUGAAACGGUAUAUUUUAUGCAUUAUUCAGGAUUCAAAGAUAAUUCAUCAAAUACUCUUAUCAUGUUCUCUAACCAGAACUCGGCCUUUUCAGCAUCAUCAUUUGUUGUAGCUCAAAACUCUUCGUCCCUAUACUUACUAAUCUUAUCUACCGGAAGCUUACUUAUCUAAACUGAAUUCACUGAUGGCAUAACAAGAGUUUGUGGUGAAUUAACCGGGGUGGAGGUUGUUGAACAGCUAGAUUGGUUCUAAUAUAUUGGCUAAACCAAUCGUUCAUCAUCUGAUAGAAGACUUGUCUAGCCUCACCAUCACGGCUACUCGUAGCCGGUCUAGAAUCAGAUGGCGCCGUCCCUUGUGCGGGAGCAGGCGCAUUACCCGUGUGCCUUGGCCAUGCCCGAGCCUGACUUACAAUUGUAGGGUACCCCAAGGGACACAUAACUGUGUCACAUAGUCGUGUAUUGCACACGACUGAGGCACACGCUCGUGUCUCUACCCGUGUGGAGAAAAAUAGGCCAUUUGAAUAGCCAAUUUGUCACCCCAAUUUGGGUCAACCUAUAAACACCUAACCAAGCAUAUUUAUAUAAUAAUUUCAACCAAUUUCUAAACCAAACCAUACCACAUUCAUGCCAUAACAUUAUCAACCAUUUUCAAAUCUCAAAUCAUCAAUCAAUUCAUAACAAAACUUAAACUAAAAUUAUACCUAAACAUAUGAUCAAUACAUCAUUCAAUUAAAUACUCAAAACUUACCAAAACUUCUCAACAUUGACCAUUUCUUUAAGCCAAUCAAAACAUACUACAAUUUCACAUUAGCAACACAUAUUAUAUACCAUUAUAAAACUAUAAGUUCUAACACAAACUAGCCAUAUCACAUGGCUAAAUAUGUACAAUACAGAACAUAAUUCCACAACUUCUAACCUAUACAUGCCAUACUUUAAUAUAUAUAUUUUCAAAGUACCAAAAUAAGGUUUGAUAGUGUGGUGACGAUCCUCGACGAUCCCCGAGCUCACAGUAGCUUCGGUAUCUAUAAAACAAUACAAACACACACAAAUUAAGCUUUCAAAAUCUUAGUAAGCCAUAUACAAAUAAACAUAUCAUUCAAAGCAAAUAAAUAUCAUCAAAUCAUUUAUACCUUGUAUACCAAUGUUUACACAAAUCUCAUAUUCAAAUACUUACCUUUCAUUCUCAAAUAAGCUAUACAAAGUAAACAUACCUGAAUCCGAUAUGAUUUUACAAAGUUAUUCAUUCUCUCGGAAUGCCUGUUUGAACCGUUCGAAACUAUAAGGAUACGCGGAUAGCUCAGAGAACAUAUACAAUGCCAACAUCCCAAACGUGGACUUACAUUUAAUUAGACAUCGAUGCCACUAUCCCAGACAGAGUCUUACACGAAAUCAAAUACGAUGCUGAUGUCCUAGACAUGGUCUUACACAUAAAACAGAAGUCGAUGCCAAUGUCCCAGACGUGGUCUUACACGAAAUCAAAUAACAGAAUCCUAUGUCAUGACAUAUGUAUCCUAACUAUUCCUAAGGUUCGUACAAGGCUUUUCAGAUGUCGAAACUUUGUCGAUACUUUCUUGAGUAGCAUAUAUUUAGCUCAGAAAUUCGUUCAUCACAAUUCAAUAUCAAUUAAAUAAUAACUCAAUUUAAACAAGCUUAUUUUACCUCGUAAGUAUUUAGAUGAAUGAAAUUGGUUACUCGACAACCUUUGACUUUCCCCGAUCUAACUCCGUUUUCUUUAAUUCUUGAUCUAUAUAAACCCAAAUUUAACUUAUUCAAUCACAAAUUCAUUCAAAAUAAUUCAUAGAUACAUAUUUAAGCCAAUUUUCAAACUAGCCCUCACACUUUCACAUUUAACACUUUAGUCCCUAAUUCACAAAAUCACAAAAUACACAUAAUUUGCAUAUACUCAUGCUUGGUCGAAUAUUCAUAGUAUUCAUAUAAGCCCAUAUGCUUUAUUUAUUUCAUAUUUUAGUCCCUUAAAAUCUCAUUUUUACAAUUUAGUCCAAAUUACUCAAAUUCAUCAAAAAUUCAAAGGCAAAACUUAGUAAUCUAACACAUAUCUUCCAUUUACUAUCAUCAAACUUCAUAAAACUCAUAGUUUCAACAAUAGCGUAACUCAAAAUCAUCCACAAAAUCAGAAAUUAGGACAUGGGCUUAGUAAAACACAAAGCAACGAUCACAAAAGCGUAGAAAUUAUCAAAAAAUCCAUACCUAAAUCACCAAAUAUUUUUCUAACUCGGAUAUGUGGUCCCAAAACCACUAUUCUGACUUAGGUCAAACUGGACUGUUACAUUGAGUGUAUGUUGUAAGAACUCGUGAAGAGAGAGAUGCUCAUAAUGUGGUGAAAAGUAUAUUCCUAUUACAUUCAGAACCCGUUUAUGUUUUAAUAGAUCCAGGAUUGUCACAUUCUUAUGUUAAUACAAAACUAGUUGAGAUGGAAAAUUUAAAACCUAAAUUGUCUAGAGUAACGAUAGAGGUGUCUAGUCUACUAGGGAAAACUAUGUUAGUGAAUUAGAUAUGUCGAAGAUGUCCAUUAAUGAUUCAAGAUAAAAUCUUUUAUUUUUAUUUGUUAAUUAUGCCAUUCGGCGACUUUGAUAUUAUACUGGGAAUAGACUGGCUGUCAGAAUAUGGAGUAAUUUUGGACUGUUAUAAAAAGAAGUUUACUGUUCAGAAUGAGAAUGAUGGUUAGAUUGAAGUAAAUGGUAUUUGGACCAGUGGAUCAGUUUGUGUUAUUUCAGCAAUUAAAGUUAAUAAGCUUCUUUAUCAACGAUGUAUUGUUUUCUUAGCAUAUGUAAUUAUUUCUAAUUCAGUUGAGAGUCAGUGCAGUAAAAUUUGAACUGUAUGUGAAUUUCCAGAUGUAUUCCCUGAAGAGUUACUUGGAUUACCUCCUGAUCGAAAAGUUGAAUUUGUGAUUGAAGUAUACCCAGAUACGGAUCCAGUGUCAAUACCUCUAUAUCGUUUGUCACCAACUAAGUUAAAAGAGUUGAAGAUACAACUGCAAAAUUUAUUGGAUCGAGGUUUUAUACGACCAAGUACAUCAUUGUGGGGAGCUCCAGUGUUAUUUGUUAAGAAGAAAGACGGUUAGAUGCGGUUAUGUAUUGAUUAUCGACAGUUGAACAAGGUGACCGUCAAGAAUCAAUACCUAUUACCUCGCAUUGAUGAUUUAUUUGAUCAAUUAAAAGGAGCCUCUGUGUUUUCGAAAAUUGAUUUAAGAUAGAGUUAUUAUUAGUUGAAGGUGAAGGAAAGUGAUGUACUAAAGACAGCGUUUCAAACUCGGUAUAGACAUUAUGAAUUUUCGGUGAUGCCAUUUAGGUUAACAAAUGCUCCGGUUGCUUUUAUAGAUCUUAUGAACCAAAUUUUUCAGCCGUACUUAGACCAAUUUGUAGUAGUCUUUAUUGAUGACAUUUUGGUAUAUUUUAAGUUUGAAUCUGAACAUGACCAGCAUCUUCGAAUUAUUUUACAAAUGUUACGGGAGAAACAAUUGUAUGGGAAAUUGAGUAAAUGCGAAUUUUGGCUAUCAGAGGUAGUAUUUCUUGGUCACGUGGUCUUAACAGAUGGAAUUAGAGUGGAUCCAAAGAAAAUUGAAGCAAUUAUACAGUGGAAAACUCCUAAAAAUGUGUCAGAAGUACGUAGUUUCCUUGGAUCAGCUGAAUACUAUCGAAGGUUCAUGAACAGAUUUUCAAAAAUAGCUUUACCGAUGACGAAAUUAUUAAAAAAGAAUGUUCCAUUUGUUUGUAAUGAACAAUGUCAGAAAUGUUUUGAAACAUUGAAGCAGAUGUUAACAGAAGUACCAGUUUUGACUUACGAUAGUCGGGAAAAGAUCUCAUUGUGUAUAGUGAUGCUUCUUUAAAUGGUCUCGGAUGUGUAUUGAUGCAAAGUGGGAAAGUGAUAGCUUAUGCUUCACGACAAUUGAAACCGCAGGAACGUAAUUAUCUGACUCAUGAUUUAGAGCUAGCAGCUAUGGUUUUUGCUCUGAAGAUUUGGAGACAUUUUUGUAAGGUGAGAAACGCUACAUCUAUACUGAUCAUAAAAGUCUCAAGUAUCUUCUGUCACAGAAAGAGUUGAAUUUAAGACAGCAUCGAUGGAUAGAACAUUUAAAAGAUUAUGAUUGUGUUAUUGACUACCAUCCAGGUACAACUAACGUGGUAGCUGAUGCAUUGAGUAGAAAAGCUACAAUCGAAUUGUGAGCGAUGUUUGCACAACUUAGUAUUAAUGAUGAUGGAGGCUUAUUGGCUGAAUUAAGAAUUAAACCAGUGAUGUUCGAACAAAUCAAGCCAGCUCAGUUGGAAGAUGACAAGCUUAUGAAAAGGAAAUAAAUGGUUCAGAGAUUUUCGGCAUUGAUGAACAUGAUUGUCUGAGAUUUCGUAAUCGAAUUUGUGUUCCGAAUGCUUCAGAAUUGAAAGAGUUAAUACUCCAAGAAGCACAUGACAGUCCAUUCACAUUACAUCCUGGAGAAACAAAAAUGUACCGUGAUUAACGGGAAUUGUAUUAGUGGCCAUGUAUGAAGAGGGAUAUAGUGGAAUUCGUGGCUAAAUGUGUGACAUGUCAACGAGUCAAAGCUGAUUAUCAGGUGCCAACUAGAUUACUUCAGCCUAUUAAUAUUCCUGAGUGGAAAUGGGACUGUAUCACAAUGGAUUUUGUAACUGGAUUACCGUUGUAGUAAGUAAGAAAAAUACUAUUUGGGUUAUUGUUGACAGGUUUACAAAGUCAGCCCAUUUUAUAGCAGUCAAAAUGGAUUGGUCACUUCAGAAACUUACAGAAACUUAUAUCCAAAAAAUUGUGAGACUACAUGGAAUUCCUGUAUCGAUAAUAUCUGAUCAAGAUCCACGGUUUACAUCGAGGUUUUGGAAAUAGUUGCAUGAGUCUCUUGGUACUCGACUGCAUUUUAGUAUAGCUUUUCAUCCACAAACUGAUGGACAGUCAGAACGAGUCAUUCAGAUUUUUGAAGACAUGCUUUGAGCUUGUAUAAUUGAUUUUGAAUCAGGUUGGGAAUGUUACUUACCGUUAGCCGAAUUUGUGUAUAAUAAUAUUUUCCAAUCAGGUAUUCAAAUGACACAAUAUGAAGCUCUAUAUGGUAGGAGAUGUCGAUCACCAUCCAUUCGCAUUUCAUCCUGAAGAAACAAAAAUGUACCGUGAUUUACGGGAAUUAUAUUGGUGGCCAGGUAUGAAGAGGGAUAUAGUGGAAUUCGUGGCUAAAUGUUUGACAUGACAAUGAGUCAAAGCUGAGCAUCAGGUGCCAACUGGAUUACUUCAGCCUAUUAAUAUUCUUGAGUAGAAAUGGGACUGUAUCACAAUGAAUUUUGUAACUGGAUUACCAUUGUCAGUAAGUAAGAAAAAUACUAUUUAGGUUAUUGUUGACCGCCUUAGAAAGUCAACCCAUUUUAUAGUAGUUAGAAUGGAUUGGCUACUUCAGAAACUUGCAGAAACUUACAUCCAGGAAAUUGUAAGACUACAUGAAAUUCUUGUAUCGAUAAUCUCUGAUCGAGAUCCACAAUUUACAUCGAGGUUUUGGAAACAGUUGCUUGAGUCUCUUGGUACUCGACUUCAUUUUAGUAUAGCUUUUCAUCCACAGACCGAUAAACAGUCAGAACGAGUCAUUAGAUUUUAGAAGACAUGCUUCGAUCUUAUAUCAUUGAUUUUGAAUCAGGUUGGGAACGUUACUUACCAUUAGCCGAAUUUGUAUAUAAUAAUAGUUUCCAAUCAAGUAUUCAAAUUGCACCAUAUGAAGCUCUAUAUGGUAGGAGAUGUCGAUCACCAGUGUAUUGGACAAAGUUAAAUGAGAAGAAAAUGAUUGGACCAGAAUUAAUUCAAUAAACAGAAGGUAUUGUUAAGAAGAUUCGAGAAAGACUGAA
rnacentral:lncRNA from 1 species